rnacentral:tRNA from 1 species
CAAAGAAUAGUUUAAUUUAGAAUCCUGGCUUUGGGGGUCAGGGGUGGAGGUUAGAAUCUUUCUUCUUUGA